UACGGAGGAUGCAAGCGUUAUCCGGAAUGAUUGGGCGUAAAGCGUCCGCAGGUGGCUAUGUAAGUCUGCUGUUAAAGAGUGAGGCUCAACCUCAUAAGAGCAGUGGAAACUACAUGGCUAGAGUGCGUUCGGGGCAGAGGGAAUUCCUGGUGUAGCGGUGAAAUGCGUAGAGAUCGGCAGGAACACCCAGGGGGAAACCAGCCGACUGGGCAUCUGCUGACGCUGAGGUGCGAGAGCGUGGGGAGCGAACCGG
rnacentral:rRNA from 1 species